rnacentral:rRNA from 1 species
UACGUAGGGUGCGAGCGUUGUCCGGAAUUAUUGGGCGUAAAGAGCUCGUAGGCGGUCUGUCGCGUCGUGCUGUGAAAACCCGAGGCUCAACCUCGGGCCUGCAGUGGGUACGGGCAGACUAGAGUGCGGUAGGGGAGAAUGGAAUUCCUGGUGUAGCGGUGGAAUGCGCAGAUAUCAGGAGGAACACCGAUGGCGAAGGCAGU